rnacentral:ncRNA from 1 species
UCACUAGGGGUGCCAUACGAGCUUUUGCUUUUGGCUGAGAUCACACCCUCUGAACCUGAUACGGUUAAGCCCGGCGAAGGAAAGUGAAA